AACGGCCGCGGUAUUCUGACCGUGCAAAGGUAGCAUAAUCAUUAGUCCCAUAAUAGGGGGCUGGAAUGAAGGGUUUGACGAAGUAUUAACUGUCUCAUAAUAAUAUUUAUUGAAUUUAACUUUUGAGUUAAAAGGCUCAACUUUUUUUGGUAGACGAGAAGACCCUAUAGAGCUUUAUAUAUAAAAACUUAUAAAUAUUUUUGUUAAAUUCUUAUUUUUAUUUUUUUGUUUAUUUUGUUGGGGUGACAAUAGAAUAUAUUUAACUUUUAUUAUUUAUUUUACAUUAAUUUAUGUAUCUAAGAUCCAUUUAUAGUGAUCAUUGGAUAAGUUACCUUAGGGAUAACAGCGUAAUCCUCUUUUUGAGUUCUUAUUUGCAAGGGGGCUUGCGACCUCGAUGUUGGAUUAAGAUAAUGAUUAGGUGCAGUAGCUUAAUUAAUAGGUCUGUUCGAC
rnacentral:rRNA from 1 species